AUACGGAGGGUGCAAGCAUUACUCGGAAUCACUGGGCGUAAAGCGCGCGCAGGCGGCCAUUUAAGUUGGAUGUGAAAGCCUACGGCUCAACCGUAGAACUGCAUCCAAAACUAUUUGGCUAGAGUGUGGGAGAGGAAGAUGGAAUUAGUUGUGUAGGGGUAAAAUCCGUAGAGAUAACUAGGAAUACCAAAAGCGAAGGCAAUCUUCUGGAACAUUACUGACGCUGAGGCGCGAAAGCGUGGGGAGCAAACAGGAUUAGAAACCCGGGUAGUCC
rnacentral:rRNA from 1 species